rnacentral:rRNA from 1 species
GACGAACGCUGGCGGCGUGCCUAAUACAUGCAAGUCUAAGGGGGUUGGUUCCUUCGGGAGCCGAUUCACUGGCGCACGGGUGAGUAACGCGUAAAUAAUCUGCCUCUGGGUCUGGCAUAACUUCGGGAAACCGGGGCUAAUUCCAGAUGACACCGCAAGGUCAAAGCUUUGGCGCCCAGAGAUGAGUUUGCGUCUGAUUAGCUAGUUGGCGGGGUAAUGGCCCACCAAGGCGACGAUCAGUAGCCGGUCUGAGAGGAUGAUCGGCCACAUUGGGACUGAGACACGGCCCAGACUCCUACGGGAGGCAGCAGUAAGGAAUAUUGCGCAAUGGACGAAAGUCUGACGCAGCAACGCCGCGUACAGGAUGAAGGCCCUUUGGGUUGUAAACCUCUGUCACCGGGGGAANAAACGCUUCAGGUUAAUAUCCUGAAGCCUGACUUAACCCGGAGAGGAAGCAGUGGCUAACUCUGUGCCAGCCG